rnacentral:rRNA from 1 species
CCUACGGGAGGCAGCAGUGGGGAAUCUUGCGCAAUGGGCGAAAGCCUGACGCAGCAACGCCGCGUGCGGGAUGAAGGCCUUCGGGUUGUAAACCGCUUUCAGCAGGGAAGAAAUUGACGGUACCUGCAGAAGAAGCCCCGGCCAACUACGUGCCAGCAGCCGCGGUAACACGUAGGGGGCGAGCGUUGUCCGGAUUUAUUGGGCGUAAAGAGCUCGUAGGCGGUUCACUAAGUCGGGUGUGAAACCUCCAGGCUCAACCUGGAGACGCCACCUGAUACUGGUGUGACUAGAGUCCGGUAGGGGAGUGUGGAACUCCUGGUGUAGCGGUGAAAUGCGCAGAUAUCAGGAAGAACACCAGCGGCGAAGGCGGCACUCUGGGCCGGUACUGACGCUGAGGAGCGAAAGCGUGGGUAGCAAACAGGAUUAGAUACCCUGGUAGUCCACGCCGUAAACGUUGGGCACUAGGUGUGGGUCUCAACCAACGAGAUCCGUGCCGCAGCUAACGCAUUAAGUGCCCCGCCUGGGGAGUACGGCCGCAAGGCUAAAACUCAAAGGAAUUGACGGCNGAGACGNGCGACGACGACGACGAGGAGAG